CUGACUUGGAAACUUGCUGCACACCUGAAAUCUGAAGCACAUUCUGGGAGGCAUCAUUCUGGUUCUGUGGACUACACUCACAACCUGUCCAGUGAACACAAAGGACAGGCAGGAUGAAAUUCUCCAGUGAGCCUGGCUGGAGCUGAGCUCAGUGGGCUGACAGACAGAAUAAUGCUGUACCUGGCCACGAAGAAAGCUUCCUGACCAGCACACCAGGAAUCAAAUGAGGCAAUUUAACUGAAAGAGCCCACUCUGCAGGAGACAGUAAAAGCUGCCACGUACAAGAUUUAAGAGAACUGAGGAAGAAGAGGAACUACUACUUUGACACCAGGCUUGAGAAGAUGGAUUCUGUCCAGGAAAUCACACUACAUCAGCUUAUGGGGAAGGACGUAAAAUAACACUGAGGAGAAAGGACAAAGGGGGACCACAACAAUGCAACAACCACCUGGUGAAACAGCACAUAGAUGAAAGCACGUGUUAAUUUGGAUAGAAUUAUGGUCUUUUCAUUUAUUAAAAGAGUCACUUCUGCUCCCUUGGAUUAUUGUGAAUGAAAGAUCAGGACAAAACUCAUAUAUUCUUCCCCUACUCACUAAAUAAAGUAAAAAUGCAGAUAUCUUGCUGAGAACCAGCAAAGCCCCACUGCAGCACCAGUCAGAGACUGUAAAAAGAAGUUACACAGAAACUGGCUCUUUACACACCUCUUAAUUCUGGAUAUUGUGCAUUGAACAGUUUCUGGUUUUUAUACCUAUCCACUUUGCUGUUUGUACAGGUGUUUAUGCACCAGGGAAGCAGGUUUUAAAACAGGAAAACAGGUACAAAACCAUAAACACUAACUAACAGAAAGUGUACAAGAGAUGGACUUGUUCCAAGUGGCUGUUGUUCCUUUAAAAUAUUGGUGGGAAGGAUAAGGAGCUUUGGGAUUUGAGCAAAGUUAGACUGUCCUGCUCCAGCUAAUAACAAACUUUAUUGUAGUUCUCAUCUCAGUGACAAUAAAUCCACUCAAUUUCUUAGCUUAAACAGCACUUUAUGGGAUCCAAUGUUUAUAUGCCCUUCAAACCUAGGAACUAAAAGAAAUGCAGUGAAAUAUAGGACUGAUCAAAUAUUAUGUUUUAUACACACACACACAUGCU